rnacentral:rRNA from 1 species
UGGGGAAUUUUGCACAAUGGGGGAAACCCUGAUGCAGCGACGCCGCGUGAUUUAGAAGGCCUUCGGGUUGUAAAAAUCUUUUGUAUGGGAAGAAAAUGACAGUACCAUACGAAUAAGGACCGGCUAAUUACGUGCCAGCAGCCGCGGUAAUACGUAAGGUCCGAGCGUUGUCCGGAAUCAUUGGGCGUAAAGGGUACGUAGGCGGAUAAGCAAGUUAGAAGUGAAAUCCUAUAGCUCAACUAUAGUAAGCUUUUAAAACUGCUCAUCUUGAGGUAUGGAAGGGAAAGUGGAAUUCCUAGUGUAGCGGUGAAAUGCGCAGAUAUUAGGAGGAAUACCGAUGGCGAAGGCGACUUUCUGGCCAUAUACUGACGCUGAGGUACGAAAGCGUGGGUAGCAAACAGG